rnacentral:rRNA from 1 species
AUGGACCAAUCCAUCCCUUUUUCCCGUGCAUAUGCAUCGGACUCGGAUGACGAUGGUCCCGAUGAAGAAGUUGAUGAGGAGGGGUUCACGCCGAAGGAGGCCCAAGAAUUCAAGAAGGUAUUCGGGAAGGACCACAAGACACCAUUGUUCAAGGAUCUUAGUCUCGCGGAUGAAGCCGUUGUGGAUGGUGGCAAAUGCAUAUCUCUUGGAGCUAGGCCAAGUUCUCAC